CAAAAGGAGCAGCAUGUCUCCAAAAACAAAUGCUCUGUCGUUGGAGCCUCCAGUACAACGUUCCUGCCACCAGCUUUUCUGCUGUCCGGACGUACAGCACGCAGGCAGCGGAGGACAAGGAAGAAGAGCCCCUGCACACCAUCAUCAGCGACACAGAGAAUGUGAAAGGUGCAGCCUCUAAACAUGAGUUUCAGGCUGAAACAAAGAAACUGCUGGACAUUGUUGCCCGUUCCUUGUACUCGGAGAAGGAGGUAUUUAUCCGGGAGCUGAUCUCCAAUGGCAGCGACGCGCUGGAGAAACUGCGUCAUCGCCUGAUGGCAGAAGGGAAAGCCUUGCCAGAGAUGGAGAUCCAUCUGCAGACGGACAGCGGGAAGGGAACCAUCACAAUCCAGGACACAGGUAUUGGGAUGACCCAGGAGGAGCUGGUUUCUAACCUUGGUACCAUUGCUCGAUCAGGCUCAAAGGCUUUUCUAGAUGCUCUGCAGAGCCAAGCUGAAGCCAGCAGUAAAAUCAUCGGCCAGUUUGGAGUAGGUUUCUACUCAGCUUUCAUGGUGGCUGAUAAAGUGGAGGUGUUCUCACAGUCUGCAGAGCCGGGGAGCCCAGGCUACCACUGGUCUUCAGAUGGUUCAGGAAUGUUUGAGAUUGCAGAAGCAUCUGGAGUCAGAACCGGGACUAAGAUUAUUAUACAUCUCAAAGAAGACUGCAAGGAGUUUGCGAAUGAAGACCGAGUCAAGGAGGUGGUGACAAAAUACAGCAACUUCAUCAGCUUCCCACUAUAUCUCAAUGGGAGACGAAUUAACACAUUACAGGCACUCUGGAUGCUGGACCCCAAGGACAUCGGUGAGUGGCAGCACGAGGAGUUCUACCGCUUCAUAGCGCAGGCUUACGACAAGCCCCGCUACGUCCUGCACUACAAGACUGAUGCUCCCCUCAACAUCCGCAGCAUCUUCUAUGUGCCUGAGCAAAAACCGUCCAUGUUUGAUAUCAGCAGGGAACUGGGCUCCAGCGUUGCCCUCUACAGCCGCAAAAUUCUCAUCCAAACCAAAGCUGCAGACAUCCUGCCUAAAUGGCUGCGUUUUCUGAGAGGUGUUGUGGACAGUGAGGAUAUACCCCUGAACCUCAGCAGGGAGCUGCUGCAGGAGAGUGCCCUUAUCAGGAAGCUCCGAGAUGUUUUGCAGAAGAGGUUGAUCAAAUUCUUCAUUGACCAGAGCAAGAAGGACCCUGAGAAAUAUGCCAAAUUCUUUGAGGACUACGGAGUGUUCAUGAGAGAGGGGAUCGUCACGAUAGCAGAGCAGGAUGUCAAGGAGGACAUAGCGAAGUUGCUACGUUACGAAUCGUCUGCCCUGCCCGCAGGCCAGCUGACCAGCCUGACCGACUACGCCUCCCGCAUGAAGGCAGGGAGCAGAAACAUCUACUACCUGUGUGCACCCAACCGGCACCUCGCUGAGCACUCCCCGUACUUUGAGGCCAUGAAGAAGAAGGACAUGGAGGUCCUGUUCUGCUACGAGCAAUUCGAUGAGCUGACGCUCCUGCACCUUCGGGAGUUUGACAAGAAGAAGCUGAUCUCUGUGGAGACGGAUAUCGUUGUUGAUCACUAUAAGGAAGAGAAGUUUGAGGAGAGUCGCCCAGCUGCAGAACGUCUGACAGAGAAAGAGGCUGAGGAUCUGAUGGCCUGGAUGAGAAACGCCUUAGGCUCACGAGUCACUGGUGUUAAGGUGACUACCCGGCUGGACACCCACCCCGCCAUGAUCACUGUGCUCGAGAUGGGGGCUGCCCGCCACUUUCUUCGCAUGCAGCAGCUGGCCAAAACCCAAGAGGAGCGUGCCCAGCUCCUGCAGCCCACCCUGGAGAUCAACACAGGGCAUGCUCUGAUUAAGAAGCUUAACGAGCUGAAGGACAGUCAGCCUGAUCUGGCUCAGCUGCUGCUUGAUCAGAUUUAUGAGAAUGCCAUGAUAGCAGCAGGACUGAAUGAGGAUCCCAGACCAAUGGUGAGCCGGCUGAACGAACUCCUCACCAAAAUUCUGGAGAAAAACUGAGCCCCGGAAGACUGAAGGAUGAACUCUGUGCUGAUCUCUCUUUCCUUGAGUGCUGUUGCUCUGUCAGCUAUUGCAGCAUCUGCUUGCAGGGACUGGGCAGUGAGGGGUUCAUGUGGCAGAGGGCCAGGGAGAACAUGGGGGACUUUCAACCCUCACUGCACAGGGAGGAGCUGAUUGUAAUUAUUAGAUAAUGUCAUCAACCUGUUCAAAGGGCGAUGUUCUUAGUGGGAACAAAAUCCAGAGGUUGCUGAUAAAACAAUAUACCCAAAUUUCUGACACAAGCCUGAAGAGCCUCAUUUCAUACUGUUUCUAGAAAUGGCCUUUCCCAAAACAGAUGUUGGCAGCAAGAUUCCCAGUUAGGUCUGUGAAUAUCCCCCCCCAUCCACUGAAUCCCUGUGCACCAUUGUGCUCCAAACAAGCUCUGACAGAAUUAAUUAAUUUGUUAAGAAAUCUCCACCUCUGACCAGGCAGGAGGAGUUUGCCGGCAGGGCGAUAGAUUGCUGCCAUUAGCAGACACGGAUACUGAUGGUGGAACACGUCGGUACAAUCCUGUGGCAGAAAAGAUCACUGAGAUGCUGGAUAAUUGAGUUCAUCCUGGUCUUGCUGUGGAGAGAGGGAAGUAACCGGGAACCAGCUUUCCAGUGUGUGGCUUUCUGGAGAGUCUCCAGGGGUUUUGCCUCUUCUGUGGGAUAAGCUGCAUGUCUAGCUGAUCUGUAUUUAUGAUAAAUAAACUCCUUUUCCAGACCCCUCCACUCUUCUCUCUUCCCCUUACUUUUUUGGUCUUUGUGUCUUCCAGCUGGUGAUUUGUUGGUGGUUCUCUCUUCAGAUGCUGCUUGGUUCUUCAGGGCAUCAAGCACUGGACAGUGAUGGGAAGAGAGGGCUGUGAAAACAGUAGGCAGUCGCAGAGAGUGUGGAGGGAAAACGGGAGAAUCUGCAGCUGUGAACCCUGUUAGCCAUGUCUUCAAAAAUGGAGUUUAGCCCUUUGAAUCCUUUCUAAGGAGCAGCGUCUGUUCAGCAGAAGAGGUCUUUGUAACAGAAGAUGCCACACGAGAUUGCCCUCUGUGCGUCUGGUUUACUCCAUGCAAACUGAUGCAGAAGAAGAACUAAUGUGACAGUUUAGGGGGUGUUGAGAAGAACAAGGAGCCACCUUCUACAUCCCUAGGGCAGCGGCAUAGCUCAGCUAGAGGCCACAGGUCUUGGUCCAGCUCCUGGUAAGAUAUGGACGGCAUCUUUUGAUUAUGCUGGGAUUCCUUGAUUGUGAAAUAAUGAAAUACCCUUAAAUUGUCCAUACUCAAAAGAUUAGAGGAGGAAGCCGGCAGCUGAGCUGGCACAGGUAAAUGUGCAUAAGGUUUUGCUCCUGGAAGUAGACAACAAUGUGGGGUUCAGCUGUACGCUUUGGAGGCUGGGCAUAAUUUCUGUCUUCCAAGGAGAUCUAAGAUCCUUUGCCAUCAAAAUUGUCAUAAAUAUGCAGGAAAAAUUACUAGAUGCUAUACAUGGAUGUGCAGAGCCUUGCAGGUCACUUGAAAGGAGCAAUAUGGCGUGGCUGCUUCACGAGGUGGGGUGUUCCAUGAACGCAGAGUGAAGAAAUUAAAACCUUUGGUGAUGUCCUGAUGCUAACAGUCCAGCAGAUCUGCAGAGAGUGCUGGUGCAUGAAGAUUUUAUGCAUGGCUAACAGAACAGAUCCUAGUGGAAAAGGGGGACGUAUGGCAUCACGUUGAUGAGCACAAACUGAAGUGCCGAUAGGAAUCCAGGCAAAUGGCUCAAAAGCCAGCCUGUGCAUGACUUUGGCUCUGAAGGGGCCUCCGCACGGAACGCAACAGAGGCUCUUCGGUAAACAAGCAGUGUAAAGGAUGAGUUGCUUCAAACGUGAUGGUAAAAGGGAGGCAUGGGAAGCUAGUUAGAGCCUGGUUUUUCACUUUUCUGUACAUCCUUAAAACACGCUGUGCAAGCAGAGAAGGCUUGUAUGGAUCUUGCAUCAGAACUUCAGUGCUGUUUGUAGUGGUGAAGCUGCGGUUGUGCGCUUCCAGCUCCCAUCCUCUCCACUGAGAUACUAAAUUGCUCAUCCUCAAGUGUUGUAUCACUAACUAGUUUCCAUCUGGCUUGUGCUCUUCCUGCCAUGAGAGUAGUGCCCCCUGAUUUUUCUAGCAUACUGAGGUGAACGAAGAGUUCCAAGAGUGUGCAACGUGUGGGAAUGGCGCUGUGAAGCGCCUGGUAUGGGCUAGUUGUGUCUUCCUGCAUUUGCUCUACCAAAUUUCCCCAUGGGUUGGAACUAGGGAUCUCCGACCUGAAGAAUCUCAUGGAGCUUACUUGUUUUCCUGGCUGUAAGCAAUGCUGAACCCUGCUUUGCACAGAAAAUUCAUCUAUAAGGUUUGAUUUUUUUUUUUUACUGGGACCUUAUUUACUGCUGCCUGUCUCUUUUUUCUUGUUGAUUUU